rnacentral:lncRNA from 1 species
GAGAUUCCAGUGGGGCCUCUGCCCAGAAAUCAAGCAACACUUAUUGGUACUGGAGCUCAAGACAUACUCAGCCAUUCUAGCAAAGGCACAAAUUGUGGAGAAGAGUUUCAACACCUGUCCUCAGUCAGCAGGGAGUCAUCAACCCUCAGCUCCACCCCGCAGACCAGCACCCAUUGCGCCAGUCCAACCAAAUAAGAGGCCCAGACUAGUGAUUCAGGCCCCUCCUCAGGCUCCAGGGGCAGCACGAGGAAAGAUCUGUCAGCACUAUGGCAGGGAUCACACGGAUUGAUCAUGCUACUGCCUCAACAACACCCGUUGCAUAUGUGGCAGUGUCCAACAUUAUGCGAGAGAGUGCCCGAGGAACCAGAAUUAAGGAAGACCUCCUUUUUAGGGCAGGGUU